rnacentral:pre_miRNA from 1 species
GGUUUUGAGAGGCUGAAGCUGCCAGCAUGAUCUGGUAAGAUAGAACAAAAUCUUGGGUUUUCUUUUUCCCACUUUUUCUUUUAUGGGGUUUUCAUCUUUCUGCAGAAAUAGAAUUCACUGUACCAAAAGAACACAUCUUUGGGGUUUUUUUCUGUUCUUCAUUCUCCCCCCUUCUGUUUCAAUUCUUUUUUUUGGUUGGUUGGUAUGGGUUCUGUACAUAGUUUAAAGAUUGGAGAGUGAAUUAUGCCUAAAGUAGACAGAUCUCUUGUGCGCACCGGUAUUUAGCCUUAUCUGAUCUACUGAGCCAUUGAGUAAUCGGGAUUUUGUGAGGGCUCUUAGAGUUGGGGAUUCAAUCUUUUGGGAGAAGAAGAUUGGAGAGGGAAUUAAAUCAUAGUGAAUUUCAUUAGGUUUUCUGAGAUUUGGUUCCAUCAGGUCAUCUAGCAGCUUCAAUCACUCACCAA